GUUCAAUGGAUGCCUUGGUGCAACACACCGAAGAAGGACGUGGAGGGCUGCGAUAAGUACCGGUGAGCUGCCGUCAAGCUUUGAUCCGGUAAUUUCCGAAUGGGGAAACCCGCUUGUGCAUGGCACAGGGGUUCUUAAGUCACUUAAGUACCUUAAGUUACUUAGGGGUUCUUGCGCUGUGCAUGAGCAUCCUUUUGCGAAUUAAUAAGCUUAAGGAAGGGUACCGUCUGAACUGAAACAUCUAAGUAAGGCGAGGAAAAGAAAGUAAUUAACGAUUCCCUGAGUAGUGGCGAGCGAAAGGGGAAAAGCCCAAACCAGGUACCAUACGGUACCUGGGGUUGCGGGACUCUAAUAUGAGAUCUCACUUAAGAUAGCAGAACUGUCUGGAAUGGCAGGCCAUAGAGAGUGAAAGACUCGUAUGUGAAAUCUUAAAUGGCUCUAGGAGUAUCCCAAGUACUACGGGACACGCGAAAUCCUGUAGGAAUCUGGCUCGACCAUGAGCUAAGGCUAAAUAUGUGUUGCGACCGAUAGUGAACUAGUACCGUGAGGGAAAGGUGAAAUGCAUAUAGGGCAUUGAAACGAAGACUUCAUUUGUAUAGAGCUUAGAAGGCUGGGGGAGGCAAAGUGAAAGCGAGCGUUAAUAGCGCGUCCCGCCCUUUUUGGGUUUAAGUUAGACGGGGACAAUGUUCAAUUUGAACUUGAAAAGGGCGG
rnacentral:rRNA from 1 species